ensembl:piRNA 21ur-1074 ncRNA
UAUAGUGCUGUUUCAACCAAU